UACGUAGGGUGCAAGCGUUGUCCGGAAUUAUUGGGCGUAAAGGGCUCGUAGGCGGUCCAUCACGUCGGGAGUGAAAAGCUGGGGCUUAACCCCAGUCCUGCUUCCGAUACGGGUGGACUAGAGGUAGGUAGGGGAGAACGGAAUUCCUGGUGUAGCGGUGAAAUGCGCAGAUAUCGGGAAGAACACCCGUGGCGAAGGCGGCUCUCUGGAACGCAACUGACGCUGAGACGCGAAAGCGUGGGGAGCAAACAGG
rnacentral:rRNA from 1 species